CCGUCAUUCCGGCGAGACUGGCGCAUGCACUACCACCAUCUUGACAGCCGCUUCUCCCCCUUCAUAACCAUGUACCUCGAUCGCCCCUUCACCUUCGUAUUUCGUGAAAUCGAAUCAAAGACAGUGAGAUGCAUUGGGUGAUUUUCCAGCGAAGCUCUCAGCCCUAAUUUUGGUAAGCCAUGCCAUUAUUUUGUAAACCCAAUCCAUUUAUAUCAUUGGUUUCGUCGAUUUGAAGCUAAUCCCCUUUCUCCUUUACUGGUUCUUCACUGCCGUCGUGCUCCACCAUCGAGCUUCCUCCUUCUCGGCGAAACCAAGACUCUAUGAUGACAACUUAGUUCUAAUUCGAUAAGACCAGUUCUUCCUUUCCACUCCUAGUUUGUAUUUUCUUUCAAUUCUUGGCUUUUCUUUCGAGCCUAAUCCCAAUUUUUCUUACCUCUCUCUUGCAUCUGCCGAGGUCUAUUACCUCUUUCUCUUCUUUUCUGGGUUACUUUGUUUACUUGGGACGAUCCCUGGAGCCGUAGCUAUAAAGAGUGGAGGAGCAGCAGCUCGGUUUGGGAUCGGAAAAGGAGCAGCAGCCUCGGCUUAUGUUUUUCAAUUCGUGAGAAUUGAUGUUAGGAGGAUCUUUUGGAGACUUGGAGCGGCAUCAAGAGCUAUAUAUUGGAUUUGGAUAUCGGCUGGGAUUCUGCACGUCAUUCCAGUUGUCUUGCAGGUCCAAUUGUUAUUCCGGAGCUAGGAGUCUCAUUUCAGAGUUAACAAGCGUAUUCUCUUUCAUGCAUUUCAUUCCUAUGUUUAUUAACAAUGUUUUCGAGUGAAGUUUUCCGAGGUUGAUUUCUUGUUUGUAGCUACCUUCAUUUUGUACAAAAAUUGGGUUGUCUACUUGUUUAAUUUG